CGCCUCCCCCUCUUGCGCCCUGCCGCUCGGCCUCCCCUUCUUUUUCUUCGCCGUCGUCUUCUUCUCCGCAUCUAGCCCGACCCAGUUCGCCGCGGCCGCUGCCGCCGCGGCGACGGGAUCGGGCUGGGGGUCCGCGGCGGCGGGGGAGAGGAGGAGGGGGUCGCGGGCGGUGGAGAGGAGGGUGAGGAGGGAGGCGACGGUGAAGAAGAAGGCGACGGUCCGCCUCUUUUUUUUUCGGCGAGAAUUUUUUUUUCGGCGAGAAAAAAAAAAAGAACGACAGAAACGAAGAGGAGAGAGAAAGAGGAAAGAGAAAAGUAAUAAGGGUAUUUUGGUCAGUUUGCUGAAAAAGCGGACCGAAUCUGUAAAAAUAAAAAAUGUGACCAGAUUUUGCAAAAAUCUAAAAUAAGUAAAUUUUUUAUGCGAAAAGGCCAAUGAUAAAUGCCAAAAUUGACUAACUGCUAGAUUAUAGUAGAAAUUUAACGAAUCGCCAGGGCCGCUUGUCUUGGAGGGCUGUUGGAUACCAUGUGGGGUCCUCCAAUCCUAGAAUCUCUGCAAAUUCCCUUAAGUCUAUUCAGCUCACUAAAUCGACCGUGUGGUUAUCACUGCUCUUUCCAAUGUCUCCUUAUUAUCAACUUCAAUUGCCNCGUCUUCUUCUCCGCAUCCAGCCCGACCCCGUUCACCGCGGCCGCUACCGCCGCGGCGACGGGAUCGGGCUGGGGGUCCGGGACGGCAGGGGAGAGGAGGAGGGGGUCGCGGGCGGUGGAGAGGAGGGUGAGGAGGGAGGCAACGGUGAAGAAGAAGGCGACGGUCCACCUCUUUUUUUUUCGGCGAGAAAAAAAAAAAAGAACACAGAAACGAAGAGGAGAGAGAAAGAGGAAAGAGAAAAAAUAAUAAGGGUAUUUUGGUCAGUUUGUUGAAAAAGCGGACCGAAUCUGUAAAAACGAAAAAGGUGAUCCGAUUUUGCAAAAGCCCAAAAUAAGUGGAUUUUUUAUG
rnacentral:lncRNA from 1 species